rnacentral:lncRNA from 1 species
AGAAUAUCGAUAUGGAUCAUUUGAACACACACGAGUUCACUGAUAACUCGAGAAACAAAGCUGGCACAUAGGCAUGACUUGAGAGAAUAUAUAUAUAUAAUAUAUAUGUAUAUAUAAAUGUUUGUGACACGUCACAGACACAUCGAACGAUUGGGCGAGGGAAAUACACAUGCCUUUUGAUUAAUGUCAAUUCCGGCAUUGAUUUUUUUUUUUGCGAGAGAACAACGAGAAGAACAACGACCAAAAAAUAAAUGAUGUUUUCCUCAUCAUCUUUUUAUCAUAACAUUUUCAAAUUAUCAUUAGAAACCACGAUGAUAAUGAUUAAAUUAAUCGCUGUUAUAAUAUUAUAUUUAUAUACACCGUGUACGAACCUCGACGAGGUAACGUUAAUUUAUAUUAUUAUUAAUAUUAUUAUUAUUUUCCUAUUCUUCUUCUUGUAAUAUAUUUAUGUAUAUCGAAAUAUGAGAACGUUCGGUGUAUGCCUAAAAUUUGUAAUAUGUGCGUUAUGUGUGCAUUUAUGAGUAGGACAUCGAUUUAGAUCAUUA